rnacentral:rRNA from 1 species
AACGAACGCUGGCGGCAGGCCUAACACAUGCAAGUCGAGCGCCCCCAAUUCUUCGGAAGACGGGGAGCGGCAGACGGGUGAGUAACACGUGGGAACCUACCCUAAGGUACGGAAUAACUUCGGGAAACCGGAACUAAUACCGUAUACGCCCCCCUUUGGAGACAUUGGGGGGGAAAGAUUUAUCGCCUUUGGAUGGGCCCGCGUCUGAUUAGCUUGUUGGUGGGGUAAUGGCCCACCAAGGCGACGAUCAGUAGCUGGUUUGAGAGGAUGAUCAGCCACACUGGGACUGAGACACGGCCCAGACUCCUACGGGAGGCAGCAGUGGGGAAUAUUGGACAAUGGGCGAAAGCCUGAUCCAGCCAUGCCGCGUGAGUGACGAAGGCCUUAGGGUUGUAAAACUCUUUCAGCGGGGAAGAUAAUGACGGUACCCGCAGAAGAAGCCCCGGCUAACUCCGUG